ensembl:lncRNA
CAAGGAAGGUUUUUGUAUGGGGAGUGCUUCCUAGUCUACAACGUCCAAUCCAUGCUGCACCUUGCUGCUGAUGCUAAAAAAUGUGGCUGCCUGGACAACUGCAUUGCAUUCCCCUUUGAGAAUUAUCUUCACCAUUUGAAAAAACUGGUCCGCUCGGGAAGAAGUCCUCUGGUCACAAAUUGUGAAAAGACUGAAUGAGGGUGGAAGUCUCAGGAGGGAACUUACUGAGAAAGAAGGCAAACAUCGCCCCAGUCUCCAGUCUCCAUCACUGACACAUCACCUCAGUCUCCAUCACUGACCGACCUGGCAGCAGCAUCGCCCCAGUCUCCAUCACUGACAGACCUGGCAGCAGCAUCGCCCCAGUCUCCAUCACUGACGCAUCGCCUUAGUCUCCAUCACUGACAGACCUGGCAGCAGCAUCGCCACAGUCUCCAUCACUGACAGACCUGGCCGCAGCAUCGCCCCAGUCUCGAUCACUGACAGACCUGGCCGCAGCAUCGCCCCAGUCUCCAUCACUGACAGACCUGGCAGCAGCAUCGCCCCAGUAUCCAUCACUGACAGACCUGGCCGCAGCAUCGCCUCUGUCUCCAUCACUGACAUACCUGCCAGCAGCAUCGCCCCAGUUUCCAUCAAAAUGUCUUUGUACUUCAGGUUCAUCGUCUGAAGUUUUCGGUGGUGCAUUUUCUUGAGGAAAAUGAGGUGGAUGUGGCACCAUCAUUAUGGUUGGCGAAGAGCAAUGGGGUUCUGAAUUGCUAUUGGCCGGCAAAUAAUGCCAGCGUUCUGGCAAGACGCUGUGCUCUGCCCGACAAGGUACUUUGGAAAAAGUACAAAGUUCGCGUUUUCUCUACAACAGACAGCUACAGCCUGGCCAGGAGAGAGGGCAAGAAAGGGCAAGACACCUCUCAGGUGGAAACGGUGGAGAUAAAUUCGAGGAGGAUAAACGUUCCUGCCAGGUACCAGGAGCCUGA